rnacentral:piRNA from 1 species
UAUGAUGUCCACACACCUAGUUACAAUGAC